CUCAUAACAAAAGAAGAAUGUGAGCGGAGACACAGAGUUUAUCAUGACAGCCUGAAGGUGUUCAUGUUUGAAUUCAAGUUUGAUGGAAAACUCUGGUGUGUGGAUGCAUCUCAAGAAGAUGGGUCAUUAGGCAGACUUGUCAACGACAACCACAUCAGUCCAAGUGCUAAGAUGAAAAUAUUAAAUAUCAAUGGAAAGCCCCAUCUAUGCUUAUUUGCAAGCAGAGACAUAAGUCCAGGUGAAGAAAUAGACUAUAAUUAUGGUGACUCGGAUUGGCUCUGGAGAUGCAAGACUGAGACCAGCCAGAUUCAGAAGACUGUGAGCUGCCUAAAGCCGCAACCAAACAGCUUUCCAAACAAUGAUCUGGACCUGAAACAUCCAGAGCCUGAAAGGGAUCUUGAUGAAGAAAUGCCUCAGCAAGGCUCAGAAGCCAUGCAUUCUUCUUCAGUGCAAGAUUUUGAAGAGACUGAGACCAGCCAGAUUCAGAAGACUGUGAGCUGCCUAAAGCCGCAACCAAACAGCUUUCCAAACAAUGAUCUGGACCUGAAACAUCCAGAGCCUGAAAGGGAUCUUGAUGAAGAAAUGCCUCAGCAAGGCUCAGAAGCCAUGCAUUCUUCUUCAGUGCAAGAUUUUGAAGAGACUGAGACCAGCCAGAUUCAGAAGACUGUGAGCUGCCUAAAGCCGCAACCAAACAG
ensembl:lncRNA